CAGCCAUCGAGUGCGGUUUAAUUUAAUUUGGCCUUGUGUAAAGUGACGGGUAGAAUUUCCGGAUUAGAUAUAGCGCUAAAUCCUGUUUAUGGGUUUGGCGUUUAGUAUCCGAUAUUGGAUCCGGCUGUUGCUGUAGAGGGAACAAUUCAUCAAGACACCCAAAAGAAGAGCGAAGUCAUCCGACGGGAGGGAAAUUAUCGUCGCAUAAGGGGUCUCAAAGGCCUAAGAGUUCCCUGAGAUAAUUAUUUAAUCCGCCUAAGUCGCUGGGAGCGGAGUUAGGAUAAAGAGAGGGCAAAAGAGUCAAAAAGAACUCGAGUUGUAACACCUGCCCAAAUUAAAUAUAUAUAAUAUUUAUA